rnacentral:ncRNA from 1 species
UCUUAUCUAGAGAGGUGGAGGGACUGGCCCCAUGAAACCCAGCAACCGCAAUUAUGAAAGGUGCUAAUUCCAGCAGUAAGCAUUUGUACUGAGAGAUGAGA